CUGGCCUACAUACAGCCCCCUAAAGGCCUCAUCCCGAAGCUCCAGGCCAUCCUCAUGAUUUUUUUUUUUGGGACAAGCUGCACUGGGUCCCUCAGUGUGCACUAUUUUUACCAAAAGAAGAGGGGGGGGUAAGGGCUGGUGCACAUCGACAGCAGGGUGACCACAUUUAGGGUCCAGUUAUUACAGAGGUACCUCACAGGGCCAACAGACGUGAUGUGGAGAGAGCUGACUGACUGCAUUCUGAGGCAGGCAGCUGGCCUGGGACUAGACACUGCACUUGUUUUCAUGGAUUUUAACCUUUUUAAACUGUGGGCUGUCUCCUUUUAACCAGUCACUUUUUAAAGCUUGGACUUGUUUUGAGUGGAAGAGACCAGGACCGGCGUGCUCCCUACACUGGCUGCUGCAAGAACCACUGGUGUACGAAGCCAGGCUGGACAUCCAGGACGACUCAACACCAGGCCUGACCAGCAGGCUGCGCUCCGCCAGAGUCACGACCCUGGGGAGACUGGUGGAAGUGGCCGGCCCUGGGCUGUGGGACUCGUCUGCGGUGGCUUCUCGACUCGGGCUGACAUCAAUCCGCCAGGUCUCGAGGUUCCUGAGGAGCUGGGCGGAGAGGCUGACGGAAGACGAGGUGGAGAUGCUGCAGGAGUACGGCAGGGGAGAGGAGGCUCCCGACGCGACGGACCCCUUUCCGGAUCUAGGAUGUGUUCCGAGGCUGAGCGGGGUCUCGGGACCACUGUUCAGAGAAGCCGAUCGAAAGCUGUUGGACUUCAACAUGAUGAAAGGAAAAGGCGGAUGGCAUCCAGUGAACGGUGCAUUUCCGCCACCUACUGGAGUGGAGUGUGGACCAGAGUACCCUAUCCCCUUACAAAACCAAACCUAACAAAAUACCCACAAAACGAAAUGAAUAAAACAAAUGAAACAAAAGGGAGAUUAAAAAAUGUCAGUGCUUUAAAUUCUACUGCUUAAUCCUGUUUCUUUCAAAUAUUGUAAUACUUGUCCUGCCCCCAAUUUUAACGCAUCUGUUAGAUUUAGUUCCUCCACUCCCAGCUUCCUCAACAUGUGUCGCUCAAGUGUGUAUUUCUGACAAUGACAAAUUAUAUGUUCUACAGAUUCUGGGACUUGACAGUGCUCACAUAGUCCUGUUGGGUGUUUAUUUACUAGAUGCAUUGUUUUGUUCAGCCUUGUGUGCCCAAUCCUCAGUCUGGUUACUAUAUGUUCUUCUGCGGUGCUUCUUCUAGCUGGCCUCCCUUUGCCAACUUCCCUCUGCACAGCAUACAGACGUCUUCCUGUUUCCCCUACAUCCCAACUAUGCUGCCAUUCCUUAAUGUUUCUUUUGAUAAUUGUUUUAACUUCUGCUUUGCUGUGUAAAAUGUCCAUCUUGUGCUGCCUUUCUAACGCUUGUUUUGCUAGUGUAUCUGCUCUUUCGUUUCCUUGCACCCCCCUGUGUGCUGGUAUCCACAUAAAUGCUCCGACAAUACCCAUAUUUUUUAAACGGAACAGUGUUUCAUAUAUUUCAUUAAUUAAAUCCUGCCUGCUAUGUGAAGUGAAUGAUUGUAAUGACUCUUGAGGAUAGUGUUGAACUAGAAUCUGAACAGACAAUGACUUUUUCGACCCGAACCUCCUCUACCCACUGCAGUGCUGUUAAAAUGGCCAACGUCUCCACUGUAUACACAGACAGAUGCUCUGAGGUUCUCUUUUUAACUUCAUAUCUUAAGGACGGUAUGGUGACUGCAAACCCAGUUCUCCCUGUAUCAGGGUCUUUUGAUCCCUCUGUAAAUGCUGGAAUAAAUGAUAAGUAUGUCGUC